CCCCACUAUGCCUAGCCGUUAACCACGAUAGUCCAUAUACCCACUAUCCGCCAGAGGAUUACGAGCAAAAGUUGCUUAAAACCCAAAGGAUUUGGCGGUGUCCCACAUCUCCCUAGAGGAGCCUGUCCUGUAAUCGACACUCCACGUUUCACCUCACCAUCUUAGGCCACUCCAGCUUAUAUACCGCCGUCGUCAGCUUACCCUUUGAGGGGCCCAUAGUAGGCAAAAACGUCCACACAAAAACGUCAGGUCAAGGUGUAGCUAACAAGAUGGAAGCGAUGGGCUACAUUUUCUACGAUAGAAAAUACGGACAUUGCAAUGAAAACAUUGCACUAGAAGGCGGAUUUAGCAGUAAAAUGAGAAAGAAUGCCCAUUUUAAGCUUGCCACUG
rnacentral:rRNA from 2 species